rnacentral:rRNA from 1 species
GUGGGGGAUAACGUAGCGAAAGUUGCGCUAAUACCGCAUAUUCUGUGAGCAGGAAAGCAGGGGACCGCAAGGCCUUGCGCUCUUUGAGCGGCCGAUGUCAGAUUAGCUAGUUGGUGAGGUAAAGGCUUACCAAGGCGACGAUCUGUAGCGGGUCUGAGAGGAUGAUCCGCCACACUGGAACUGAGACACGGUCCAGACUCCUACGGGAGGCAGCAGUGGGGAAUUUUGGACAAUGGGGGCAACCCUGAUCCAGCCAUGCCGCGUGAGUGAAGAAGGCCUUCGGGUUGUAAAGCUCUUUCGGCCGGGAAGAAAUCGCAUGGGCCAAUACCCUGUGUGGAUGACGGUACCGGAAUAAGAAGCACCGGCUAACUACGUGCCAGCAGCCGCGGUAAUACGUAGGGUGCGAGCGUUAAUCGGAAUUACUGGGCGUAAAGCGUGCGCAGGCGGUUUUGUAAGACAGGCGUGAAAUCCCCGGGCUUAACCUGGGAACUGCGUUUGUGACUGCAAGGCUAGAGUACGGCAGAGGGGGGUGGAAUUCCACGUGUAGCAGUGAAAUGCGUAGAGAUGUGGAGGAACACCAAUGGCGAAGGCAGCCCCCUGGGUCGAUACUGACGCUCAUGCACGAAAGCGUGGGUAGCAAACAGGAUUAGAUACCCUGGUAGUCCACGCCCUAAACUAUGUCAACUAGGUGUUGGGUGGGUAAAACCAUUUAGUACCGUAGCUAACGCGUGAAGUUGACCGCCUGGGGAGUACGGCCGCAAGGUUAAAACUCAAAGGAAUUGACGGGGACCCGCACAAGCGGUGGAUGAUGUGGAUUAAUUCGAUGCAACGCGAAAAACCUUACCUACCCUUGACAUGCCAGGAACUUGCCAGAGAUGGCUUGGUGCCCGAAAGGGAGCCUGGACACAGGCGCUGCAUGGCUGUCGUCAGCUCGUGUCGUGAGAUGUUGGGUUAAGUCCCGCAACGAGCGCAACCCUUGUCGUUAAUUGCCAUCAUUUAGUUGGGCACUUUAACGAGACUGCCGGUGACAAACCGGAGGAAGGUGGGGAUGACGUCAAGUCCUCAUGGCCCUUAUGGGUAGGGCUUCACACGUCAUACAAUGGUCGGUACAAAGGGUUGCCAAGCCGCGAGGCGGAGCCAAUCCCAGAAAGCCGAUCGUAGUCCGGAUUGCAGGCUGCAACUCGCCUGCAUGAAGUCGGAAUCGCUAGUAAUCGUGGAUCAGCAUGUCACGGUGAAUACGUUCCCGGGUCUUGUACACAGCGCCCGUCACACCAUGGGAGCGGGUUCCGCCAGAAGUAGGUAGCCUAACCGCAAGGGGGGCGCUUACCA